GACGUAGGGCGCGAGCGUUGUCCGGAUUUAUUGGGCGUAAAGAGCUCGUAGGCGGCUUGUUGCGUCGACCGUGAAAACCCGGGGCUCAACUACAGGCUUCGGUCGAUACGGGCGGGCUGGAGUUCGGUAGGGGAGACUGGAAUUCCUGGUGUAGCGGUGAAAUGCGUAGAUAUCAUGAGGAAGACCAGUGGCGAAGGCGGGCCUCUGGACAGUUCCUGACACUGAGCACGAAGGCCAGGGGAGCAAACGGG
rnacentral:rRNA from 1 species